rnacentral:lncRNA from 1 species
CAUGUCAUGAAUAGGAACUUUAUAAUAUUAGUUAAAAGAAUACAGCUACAUAAUACAUAAAACAUUGUACAUUAUCAAUAUAUAUUAAACAAGGUAUUGUUAUACCCAAAUCUACAUCCUACAUCUACAUCCUUCUCUCUCUCUCUCUCUCUCUCUCUCUCUCUCUUCCCUUUUUUUUAAUGAUAAGUAAACUGCAUCCUACUCUCUUGGGAUUUCCAAAUCAGCAUGUUCAUGGAGUUGUUGCAAAUAAAGGAAGCCACUGUCAUAGAUACCGGAACAGCAUCAUUUAAUAUCAUCCCAUAAGUGUUCAUAUAUGAUAUAGCCCCAGAUGUGCAAAUGCACCCCAAAGUUGUUAACAUCUCCGCUGAUUGUCCAUGAGAAACCUAAGGCAACAUUCAAACUCUGAAAUUUCAUUUCCCAAAACAAUUAAAAGGAGUUGAAAAGAAAAUUCAUUACUACAAAGGUUCUCUUUCUCUUUCCCUUUUCUAUCCAAAGAAACCAGAGGAAAAAAAUCAAACCACUGAUAUAUAAAAUAAAACCGAUCAUAAAAGUCCAACCACCAUUACGCUUGUGUAUAAAAUUCAAUAAGAACAUAGAACAGGGUUAUUAAUCUGCACUGAAACAAAAUAAAAUAAAAUUUUAAACGAAUCACCCUGAACUAUAAAACAACAAAAAUUGAUGUUAGAUCAAACUUUUUUGGCUGCAAAAAAAUAAAACCAACAAGCAAUAAUACAAUAGAACGGAAAACAUAACAAAAUACAAAAUGAAUCCGGCAGUGACUCAACGAAAUCGAUAAGUAUACAAAGAUACAACUCAAUCGAACCAAAUAAAUCGACAAAUUCAUCGGAAAACUGGGAGAAAUAUGUAUAAUUUUUUGUGCCGGAUAAGCGUACCGUUAGAGGUUGAAUUAAAGGCUGACGACGGCGAGUCAAAUUGAUCAAAGGGAAGAGAAGAAGAUGAGAAAGAUAACAGAUGGCUUAAGGAGAGAAGAUUCUGGUUUUCGCAAAUAUAAUUGGGGGAGGAGAGAGAAAGGGAGAUUGUAAUGGAAAGAAAGAAGUUUUGUUUUUUUGAUAUUCCCAACCAACC